AUGGUGCAUUUUACUGCCGAGGAGAAGGCUGCUAUCACUGGCCUGUGGGGCAAAGUCAAUGUGGAAGAGGCUGGAGGCGAGGCCCUGGGCAGGCUCUUGAUCGUCUACCCAUGGACCCAGAGGUUCUUUGACAGUUUUGGUAACUUAUGCUCUGAGUCUGCCAUAAUGGGCAACCCCAAGGUCAAGGCCCACGGCAGGAAGGUGCUGAACUCCUUUGGAAAUGCCAUUAAGCACAUGGAUGACCUCAAGGGCACCUUUGCAGAUCUAAGUGAGCUACACUGUGACAAAUUGCACGUGGAUCCCGAGAACUUUAGGGUAAGUUCUGGUCAUACCUAUGCUUUGUUCUUUCAUCCAGGUUUCUGUGCUGUGGUUAUAACAGAGAACACUGACUCAAGUCUUAAGCCGUUGAAGUAUUUUUUGGAGGUAAUAUUUCAGAGAAAGGCUUGAUCUUGGUAGGUUAUUCCAGAGGUCAAAGGUAAGACCAAGUAAUUACUCUAUGACUAGUGGAGGUCACUGGUCAUCUGAUAAUUCUGAAAAAAGAAAAAAUGUGAAGAACACUAACCAAACUUGAGCUAUGUGUUUUGGCCUGGAGAAUACAAACUGAGGCAUACAGAAGAAUAUCUUGCCUUUGAUAACUGAAAUUUUCUAUGGAAAUCGAUGAAUAUAUUUCUUUAUGAUUUUUGAGUUUUAAAGGAGGACUAAACAGGGCAAAAUAAGAGCAACUUUUCACAAUUUGUGCCUUCUUCUCUCAUCUCUAGCAAUGAUGAAAUGUUUUUGUGUACAAGGUGCUGGAUACCUUGUCAAAUGGAUGUCCAAACAACCUGAAUGCAUGUAAUAUCAGGAGAACAAUAUACAUAUCUAGUCCCCUUUCAGCACUAUGAUUUUACUUUUAAAGUAAUGGAGAGAAGCAAUCCAUAGCAAUGCUCAGGCUUGGACGUUGACAGAGAAAAUGGGAGAAGGAUGUAACACAGUGGGGGUUCAGGCUGGGAGUCACUGAAGCCAAUGCCAGGUCUCUAAUGGUGCACUUUUGUGGGAACAUGGCCCUGAAAGCUGCUCACCCUCUUAUGAAGAAGGAACCGGAUGUGGCAUCUAUUUGCUUUGGAAGGGCAGCCUGAGACCUUCUCUUAAUUAUGUACUGUCUUCUUUAUAUUCCCAGCUCCUAGGAAACAUGAUAUUGAUUGUCUUGGCAACCCACUUCAGCAAGGAAUUUACCCCGCAGAUGCAGGCUGCCUGGCAGAAGCUGACAAACGCUGUGGCUAAUGCUCUGGCCCACAAGUACCACUAGCUGCCUGGCCUACCAUGCUGGUGCCUAUCCGAGGGCCCAGUGUCCCAGCAGUUCAUCUCCUGAAGACAGAGGGAGAGAGCUUUCUGCAGACAUAAAACUCCAAUAUAAUACAAAUGAAAUAAAAGUCAUGGUCUAUAAUGAAUGUCCUUGUAU
rnacentral:lncRNA from 1 species